GAUGAAGAACGUAGCGAAAUGCGAUACGUAAUGUGAAUUGCAGAUUUCAGUGAAUCAUCGAAUCUUUGAACGCACAUUGCGCCCGCCAGUAUUCUGGCGGGCAUGCCUGUUCGAGCGUCAUUUCAACCAUCAAGCCUUUGCUUGCGUUGGGGCCCCGCGGCUGCCGCGGCCCCCUAAAUCCAGUGGCGGGCUCGUCGUCGUACCGAGCGCAGUAAACAUCCUCGCUCCGGGAACCCGACGGGUGCCGGCCGUGAAUCCCCCCACAUCAAGGUUGACCUCGGAUCAGGUAGGAAUACCCGCUGAACUUAAGCAUAUCAAUAAGCGGAGGA
rnacentral:misc_RNA from 1 species